AAGUCUUGCUUCCAAGGGAGGAAAGAACCAGGAGGCACAGCACCAAUUCCAUGGCAUGGGAAGUGAGGGCUUCUACUUGAUCACUUGAGGAUCCUCAUAUCUCAGAACCAGCAGGGUUCACUAAAUUGCUAAGUUGCCCGAACUGGGCUCGAGCUUGAGCCACCCCCCCUUCCUCAGCCUUCCGGAAUGCUGCGGUUACCAGCAUUUGCCACCAUACCCAGCAUAAAUGGAUGCUUUUAGCCACCAGAUUUUGAGGAGAGGGCGCGGUGUCCCUUCACUCCGGAGGAAGCAGAGCCCGGACAAAGGCCCCGCCGGCACCUUUGCGGAGGACCUCACAGCCCCGUGGAGUGGGUUUCUGUUCUUCAUCAAUCACGCAGUCCAGGCAUCUGGAAAGCGGCGCCAGUGAACAGACACGAGCCUGUGUGUGGCCCUGGGGCUGAUCAGAGUUGGGUAAAGGCCUGCGCCUGUGCCCUGGCCUGGGCACCUGAAGGACAUUUUCCUCGCCUGUCUUUGCAAACCCACCUCUGCAGGGGCAGAGCACAGCGCGCUCACAGGCGCAGAGCACAGUCCCUACGGCGCGGGUGUCACAUCACAAUCCCACUGUACAUACUCCAAGGGACCAAAGAGCCACGUGCAAAACGUGCUCUACUGCGAGGUCAAUGAAAUAAAUGCUGGGGCCAGCCCAGGUCGUGAGCUGUUCGUUUGUUUCUGGGGUCAGUGUUUCACUCUGUCGUUCAAAUUGGCCAUGAACUCGAGACGAUCCUCCUGCCUCAGCCUCCUGAGUGCUGGGAUUGCAGGUCUGGGCCACCAUGCGCCACCCCAGGUUACGAU
rnacentral:lncRNA from 1 species